GGCUGCGGUAUUUUGACCGUACAAAGGUAGCAUAAUAAUUAGUUUUUUAAUUGAAAGCUGGUAUGAAUGGUUAGAUGAGAAAUUUACUGUCUCUGAUUAAUUUUUUGAGAACUUUAUUUUUAAGUUAAAAAGCUUAAAUUUGUCUUAAAGACGAGAAGACCCUAUAGAGUUUAAUGAUUUAAUUGUUUAUUAUUUUAAAGAAUUUAUGUUUUUAUUUAAUUAGAUCAUUUUGUUGGGGUGACAAGAAAAUUUGAUAAACUUUUCUUUUUAUAAACAUUUAUUUAUGAUUAUUUGAUCCAAUUUUUGAUUAUAAGAUUAAAUUACCUUAGGGAUAACAGCGUUAUUUUUUUGGAGAGCUCUAAUCGAUAAAAAAGUUUGCGACCUCGAUGUUGGAUUAAAAUUUACUGUUGGCGCAGAAGUUGACGUGUUGGGUCUGUUCGACCUUUAAAAUUUUACAUGAUCUGAGUUUAAACCGGUGUGAGCCAGGUUGGUUUCUAUCUUUAGAAUUUUUUAAUAUUUUAGUACGAAAGGACCGAUUAUUAAUAAUAUUUAUUUUUUAUUGAAUUAAAUUAUUACUUUGGCAGAUUAGUGCGUUAAAUUUAGAAUUUAAAUAUGUAUAUUGUACAGGUAAUACUUGGUUUUUGAUUAUUUAUUAAUAUUUAUUAGUAUAUUAAUUUUGGUUG
rnacentral:rRNA from 1 species